rnacentral:lncRNA from 1 species
UCCAAAUAUUGUUGAACUGCAAAUAGUUGAUUCUACAGAUAAUGGGAGGGUGUCCAUCUUUAGGAAGGCUAUGAGCAGGCAGCCUCUUAGGAAUUCAGCCAAGAGGAAAAGCACUCUGAUUAUGAAUGGAACAGUAGGAAACUGAUUCCUGCAAAUGAUAGCAGCAAGACAAGAACCACGGAUCAGAGAAAUGACAGGAAGGAGGAAUGCUCCCUGCCAGUAGCCUCAUGCCAGGGAACAACUACCACACUAAUCCCCAUGGUCUCAUGAAGCAGUGACUGUAACAAUCUUCAUUCUACAGAUGUGGAGACCCAGGCACGGAGGGAAAGUCAUGGCCCUGGUGACACAACUAGAAAG